rnacentral:rRNA from 1 species
GGGGUGAGGACAGUGUCUGGUGGGUAGUUUGACUGGGGCGGUCUCCUCCCAAAGAGUAACGGAGGAGCACGAAGGUUAGCUAAUCACGGUCGGACAUCGUGAGGUUAGUGCAAAGGCAUAAGCUAGCUUGACUGCGAGAGUGACGGCUCGAGCAGGUACGAAAGUAGGUCUUAGUGAUCCGGUGGUUCUGAAUGGAAGGGCCAUCGCUCAACGGAUAAAAGGUACUCCGGGGAUAACAGGCUGAUACCGCCCAAGAGUUCAUAUCGACGGCGGUGUUUGGCACCUCGAUGUCGGCUCAUCACAUCCUGGGGCUGAAGUAGGUCCCAAGGGUAUGGCUGUUCGCCAUUUAAAGUGGUACGCGAGCUGGGUUUAGAACGUCGUGAGACAGUUCGGUCCCUAUCUGCCGUGGGCGUUGGAAGAUUGAGAGGGGUUGCUCCUAGUACGAGAGGACCGGAGUGAACGCACCACUGGUGUUCGGGUUGUCAUGCCAAUGGCACUGCCCGGUAGCUAAGUGCGGAAAAGAUAAGCGCUGAAAGCAUCUAAGCGCGAAACUUGCCUCGAGAUGAGUCUUCCCUGGGCCUUUAAGG